GCUACCAUGUAAACAUGGAAAUCAUGCAACCAUCAGAAUAAAAGAACCUAUCAGAAGCACAUAUCAAAUCAUGCAACCAUCAGAAUAAAAGGUUUUUACAGUUCUAUCACCAUAGUCAUGUCAUUAAAAAGAGACAUAUCCUACAUAAACAUAUAUAUCAAGCCUAAACAAGUAGUAAACAUGUUUACACCCCAUGAGCAGCCAAGAAGCAAGAAGCAAUAGCCAGUACUACUGCCUCAAGCCCUUGAACACAAAAAGGCGAGAACUGGAUGCAGAGGUUUAUCGAUUGAUUCCCGCGUUGUCGUUGGCUGCAACAAGGACCAAAAGGAAGAAAAAAAAAGAACACCCUCUCAAAGAAAUUCGCCGCUCCUGGAUCAGCGCCACAAGGCAGGGAAGGGAUCGAUAAACCACUGCGCCCAGGCAUCACCACCAACCCCCCACCCCCACCUGCGAACAUGAUGGAUUAGCGCAAGAAACCGGAACAAAACAAGAACGGAACACAGAGCCACCUGCAAGAUCGGGCACGAACGAACACUCGUGGGUGUGAAUCUGUGUUUCUCGUGUGUGCAAUGAGGAAGG
rnacentral:precursor_RNA from 1 species